UCCAGACUCCUACGGGAGGCAGCAGUGGGGGAUAUUGCACAAUGGGGGAAACCCUGAUGCAGCGACGCCGCGUGGGCGAAGAAGUAUUUCGGUAUGUAAAGCCCUAUCAGCAGGGAAGAAGAAAUGACGGUACCUGAGUAAGAAGCACCGGCUAAAUACGUGCCAGCAGCCGCGGUAAUACGUAUGGUGCAAGCGUUAUCCGGAUUUACUGGGUGUAAAGGGGGCGCAGACGGCAGCACAAGCCAGGAGUGAAAGCCCGGGGCCCAACCCCGGGACUGCUUUGGAAACUGUGUUGCUGGAGUGCUGGAGAGGCAAGCGGAAUUUCUAGUGUAGCGGUGAAAUGCGUAGAUAUUAGGAAGAACACCAGUGGCGAAGGCGGCUUGCUGGACAGUAACUGACGUUGAGGCUCGAAAGCGUGGGGAGCAAACAGGAUUAGAUACCCGAGUA
rnacentral:rRNA from 1 species